CCUACGGGUGGCAGCAGUGAGGAAUAUUGGUCAAUGGACGCAAGUCUGAACCAGCCAUGCCGCGUGCAGGAAGACGGCUCUAUGAGUUGUAAAUUGCUUUUGUACGAGGGAAAACGCAGAUAUGCGAAUCUGUCUGACAGUAUAGUACGAAUAAGGAUCGGCUAACUCCGUGCCAGCAGCCGCGGUAAUACGGAGGAUGCGAGCGUUAUCCGGAUUUAUUGGGUUUAAAGGGUGCGCAGGCGGAGAUGAAAGUCAGCGGUCAAAUUGCGGGGCUCAACUCCGUACUGCCGUUGAAACUGAAUCCCUUGAGUGCGCGAGAAGUAUGCGGAAUGCGUGGUGUAGCGGUGAAAUGCAUAGAGAGCACGCAGAACACCGAUUGCGAAGGCAGCAUACCGGCGCGCAACUGACGCUCAUGCACGAAAGCGUGGGUAUCGAACAGGAUUAGAUACCCCUGUAGUC
rnacentral:rRNA from 1 species